ACUGGCUGAUCCUGCAGGCUUUACAUCCUGUCUUUGAAGGAGACAAUGUCAUUCUGAGAUGUCAGGGGAAAGACAACAAAAACACUCAUCAAAAGGUUUACUACAAGGAUGGAAAACAGCUUCCUAAUAGUUAUAAUUUAGAGAAGAUCACAGUGAAUUCAGUCUCCAGGGAUAAUAGCAAAUAUCAUUGUACUGCUUAUAGGAAGUUUUACAUACUUGACAUUGAAGUAACUUCAAAACCCCUAAAUAUCCAAGUUCAAGAGAUAGCCAGACCCUCGGAUUGGGCUGGAGCAGGUCCCCCAGACUCCAGAUCCCUGCCAUGUGGACUGAAGACUCAGGGUCUUACUGGUGUGAGGUGGAGACAGUGACUCACAGCAUCAAAAAAAGG
rnacentral:lncRNA from 1 species